rnacentral:rRNA from 1 species
GAUGAACGCUGGCGGCGUGCCUAAUACAUGCAAGUCGAGCGAACAGACGAGGAGCUUGCUCCUCUGACGUUAGCGGCGGACGGGUGAGUAACACGUGGAUAACCUACCUAUAAGACUGGGAUAACUUCGGGAAACUGGAGUUAAUACUGGAUAAUAUAUUGAACCGCAUGGUUCAAUAGUUAAAUACGGUUUUGCUGUCACUUAUAGAUGGAUCCGCGCCGCAUUAGUUAGUUGGUAAGGUAACGGCUUACCAAGGCAACGAUGCGUAGCCGACCUGAGAGGGUGAUCGGCCACACUGGAGCUGAACCACGAUCCAGACUCCGACGGGAGGCAGCAGUAGGGAAUCUACCGCAAUGGGCGAAAGCCUGACGGAGCAGCGCCGCGUGAGUGAUGAAGGUCUUCGGAUCGUAAAACUCUGUUAUUAGGGAAGAACAAAUGUGUAAGUAACUAUGCUCGUCUUGACGGUACCUAAUCAGAGAGCCACGGCUAACUACGUG